UACAGAGACUACGAACGUUACUCGGAUUCACUGGGCGUAAAGGGUGCGCAGGCGGUUGGGUGUGUUAGAUGUGAAAUACCGGAGCUUAACUCCGGGGCUGCGUCUAAAACUAUCCGACUAGAGUUUUGGAGGGGUAAGCGGAAUUCCAGGAGUAGCAGUGAAAUGCGUAGAUAUCUGGAGGAACACCAAUGGCGAAGGCAGCUUACUGGACAAAAACUGACGCUCAUGCACGAAAGCGUGGGGAGCAAAAAGGAUUAGAUACCCUUGUAGUCCACGCUGUAAACGUUGCACACUAGGCUUUGGGACGCUCGACCGUCUCAGGGCUCAAGCUAACGCGUUAAGUGUGCCGCCUGAGGACUACGAUCGCAAGAUUAAA
rnacentral:rRNA from 1 species